UACGGGGGGAGCAAGCGUUGUUCGGAUUUAUUGGGCGUAAAGGGCGCGUAGGCGGUCAGCCCAGUUCAGUUGUGAAAUCUCCGGGCUUAACUCGGAAAGGUCAACUGAUACUGUGCGACUAGAGUGCAGAAGGGGCAACUGGAAUUCUCGGUGUAGCGGUGAAAUGCGUAGAUAUCGAGAGGAACACCUGCGGCGAAGGCGGGUUGCUGGGCUGACACUGACGCUGAUGCGCGAAAGCCAGGGGAGCGAACGGG
rnacentral:rRNA from 1 species